rnacentral:rRNA from 1 species
UCAUCCUGGUCGGUGCUUCUGAUGCGACCCCAGG